rnacentral:tRNA from 1 species
GGGAUUGUAGCUCAGAGGUAGAGCACUCACCUAGCAUGUGUGAGGCACUGGGUUUGAUCCUCAGCACCA